rnacentral:rRNA from 1 species
AACGAACGCUGGCGGCAUGCCUAACACAUGCAAGUCGAACGAGACCUUCGGGUCUAGUGGCGCACGGGUGCGUACCGCGUGGGAACCUGCCCUUAGGUUCGGAAUAACUCCCCGAAAGGGGUGCUAAUACCGGCUAAUGUCUCCGGACCAAAGAUUUAUCGCCUUUGGAUGGGCCCGCGUUGGAUUAGCUAGUUGGUAGGGUAAAAGCCUACCAAGGCGACGAUCCAUAGCUGGUCUGAGAGGAAGAUCAGCCACACUGGGACUGAGACACGGCCCAGACUCCUAGGGGAGGGAGGAGUGGGGAAUAUAGGACAAUGGGCGAAAGCCUGAUCCCGCAAUGCCGCGUGAGUGAUGAAGGCCUUAGGGUUGUAAAGCUCUUUUACCCGGGAUGAUAAUGACGGUACCGGGAGAAUAAGCACCGGCUAACUCCGUG